UACGGAGGAUGCGAGCGUUAUCCGGAUUUAUUGGGUUUAAAGGGUGCGUAGGCGGCCUUGUAAGUCAGCGGUGAAAUUUUGCAGCUUAACUGUAAAAGUGCCGUUGAUACUGUGAGGCUAGGAUUUGGUUGCUGUGGGUGGAAUGUGUGGUGUAGCGGUGAAAUGCUUAGAGAUCGCACAGAAUAUCGAUUGCGAAGGCAGCUCACAAAGCCAAGAUUGACGCUGAGGCACGAAAGUGUGGGGAUCAAACAGGAUUA
rnacentral:rRNA from 1 species